rnacentral:rRNA from 1 species
CCCUUAGAUGUCCUGGGCUGCACGCGCGCUACACUGAUGUGUCCAGUAAGCACCUAACCUCUUCCGAAAGGAACGGGUAACCUUUGCAAAGCACAUCGUGAUGGGGAUAGAUUAUUGCAAUUAUUAGUCUUGAACGAGGAAUUCCUAGUAAGCACAAGUCAUCAGCUUGUGUUGAUUACGUCCCUGCCCUUUGUACACACCGCCCGUCGCUCCUACCGAUUGAAUGGUCCGGUGAAGCCUCGGGAUUGUAGCAAUCUACCUUUAUUGGUGGUUUGUUGCAAGAACUUGUCUAAACCUUAUCAUUUAGAGGAAGGUGAAGUCGUAACA